AGCAUAAUGGCAAGCAUGUAUCCACUCUGCUCCGAUCGGCCGCUACAGCGUCGCGUGCGAAUGACGUCAUCAACCGCGCUGGGCCGCUUGUUGAUUACGUCAUUCCCAUGCAGGCGCGAUCGCGCCGAAAGAUAACGGCUGGGACUAAGUAUAAAGUAUUAAAAAUGGAGACAUCAGCGUUCCGCUAUGUCCUACUUGAAUGGACUGAGGGUGAUGAUAGUGGGGCGCAUAGUAUUUUGGCGAUGGACUGUGUCCGGAACUUUUCAGUUCAAGAUUUUUUUUGCCUCGACUGAACAAAACAAGAAGCUGGUGGAAUGGCGAAAAAGCCGCCAACCCUGGUCGGUUCACCGAGCCAAAAGUAUUGACGUGGCAAAGAGGGUCUUCCAAAUACAAGCGCCAGGAGGGUGAGAAGCAGGAGGAGGGUCAUGACAGACUUUCAAAGAACAAGGU
ensembl:lncRNA